GCAAGUCGAACGCGAAAGUUCUUCGGAGCGAGUAGAGUGGCGCACGGGUGAGUAACACGUGGAUAACCUGCCCUAGAGUCUGGGAUAACACUUCGAAAGGGGUGCUAAUACCGGAUAAGCCUACGCUCUCCUCGGAGGAAGUAGGAAAAGAUUUAUUGCUCUAGGAUGGGUCCGCGGUCCAUUAGCUAGUUGGUGGGGUAAUGGCCUACCAAGGCCGCGAUGGAUAGCUGGUCUGAGAGGAUGAUC
rnacentral:rRNA from 1 species